rnacentral:rRNA from 1 species
UACGUAGGGUGCGAGCGUUAAUCGGAAUUACUGGGCGUAAAGCGUGCGCAGGCGGUUUUGUAAGCCAGAUGUGAAAUCCCCGGGCUUAACCUGGGAAUGGCAUUUGGGACUGCAAGGCUGGAGUGCGGCAGAGGAGACUGGAAUUCCUGGUGUAGCAGUGAAAUGCGUAGAUAUCAGGAGGAACACCGAUGGCGAAGGCAGGUCUCUGGGCCAUAACUGACGCUGAGAAGCGAAAGCAUGGGGAGCGAACAGG